ACACCGAUGGUGAAGUGGUUAUCAUGCUUGCCUUCCAUAUUUGGAGUCAGCAAGCGGCAGGGGUUCGAUUCCCCUUCGGUGUA